rnacentral:rRNA from 1 species
UACGUAGGGUGCGAGCGUUGUCCGGAAUUAUUGGGCGUAAAGAGCUCGUAGGCGGUGUGUCGCGUCGGCCGUGAAAACCUGCAGCUUAACUGUGGGCGUGCGGUCGAUACGGGCAUCACUGGAGUUCGGCAGGGGAGACUGGAAUUCCUGGUGUAGCGGUGAAAUGCGCAGAUAUCAGGGAGGAACACCGGUGGCGAAGGCGGGUCUCUGGGCCGAUACUGACGCUGAGGAGCGAAAGCGUGGGAGGCGAACAGG